rnacentral:rRNA from 1 species
GUAAAAAGUAGAAUAAUAGAUUUGAAAUAUUUAUUAUAUAGAUUUAAAGAGAUAAUCAUGGAGUAUAAAAAUUAAAUUUAAUAAAUUUAAUAUAACUAUUAAUAGAAUUAGGUUACUAAUAAAUUAAUAACAAUUAAUUUUAAAACCUAAAGGUAAACCUUUAUAUUAAUAAUGUUUUUUUUUUAUUUUUUAUAAUUAAGAAUAAUUAUUAAUAAUAAUAAACUAAGUGAACUGAAACAUCUAAGUAACUUAAGGAUAAUAAAUCAACAGAGAUAUUAUGAGUAUUGGUGAGAGAAAAUAAUAAAGGUCUAAUAAGUAUUAUGUGAAAAAAAUGUAAGAAAAUAGGAUAACAAAUUCUAAGACUAAAUACUAUUAAUAAGUAUAGUAAGUACCGUAAGGGAAAGUAUGAAAAUGAUUAUUUUAUAAGCAAUCAUGAAUAUAUUAUAUUAUAUUAAUGAUGUACCUUUUGUAUAAUGGGUCAGCAAGUAAUUAAUAUUAGUAAAACAAUAAGUUAUAAAUAAAUAGAAUAAUAUAUAUAUAUAAAAAAAUAUAUUAAAAUAUUUAAUUAAUAUUAAUUGACCCGAAAGCAAACGAUCUAACUAUGAUAAGAUGGAUAAACGAUCGAACAGGUUGAUGUUGCAAUAUCAUCUGAUUAAUUGUGGUUAGUAGUGAAAGACAAAUCUGGUUUGCAGAUAGCUGGUUUUCUAUGAAAUAUAUGUAAGUAUAGCCUUUAUAAAUAAUAAUUAUUAUAUAAUAUUAUAUAAAUAUUAUAUAAAGAAUGGUACAGCAAUUAAUAUAUAUUAGGGAACUAUUAAAGUUUUAUUAAUAAUAUUAAAUCUCGAAAUAUUUAAUUAUAUAUAAUAAAGAGUCAGAUUAUGUGCGAUAAGGUAAAUAAUCUAAAGGGAAACAGCCCAGAUUAAGAUAUAAAGUUCCUAAUAAAUAAUAAGUGAAAUAAAUAUUAAAAUAUUAUAAUAUAAUCAGUUAAUGGGUUUGACAAUAACCAUUUUUUAAUGAACAUGUAACAAUGCACUGAUUUAUAAUAAAUAAAAAAAAUAAUAUUUAAAAUCAAAUAUAUAUAUAUUUGUUAAUAGAUAAUAUACGGAUCUUAAUAAUAAGAAUUAUUUAAUUCCUAAUAUGGAAUAUUAUAUUUUUAUAAUAAUAAUAAAAAUAUAAAUACUGAAUAUCUAAAUAUUAUUAUUACUUUUUUUUUUAAUAAUAAUAAUAUGGUAAUAGAACAUUUAAUGAUAAUAUAUAUUAGUUAUUAAUUAAUAUAUGUAUUAAUUAAAUAGAGAAUGCUGACAUGAGUAACGAAAAAAAGGUAUAAACCUUUUCACCUAAAACAUAAGGUUUAACUAUAAAAGUACGGCCCCUAAUUAAAUUAUAUAAGAAUAUAAAUAUAUUUAAGAUGGGAUAAUCUAUAUUAAUAAAAAUUUAUCUUAAAAUAUAUAUAUUAUUAAUAAUUAUAUUAAUUAAUUAAUAAUAUAUAUAAUUAUAUUAUAUAUUAUAUUUUUAUAUAUAAUAUAUAUAAUAUAAACUAAUAAAGAUCAGGAAAUAAUUAAUGUAUACCGUAAUGUAGACCGACUCAGGUAUGUAAGUAGAGAAUAUGAAGGUGAAUUAGAUAAUUAAAGGGAAGGAACUCGGCAAAGAUAGCUCAUAAGUUAGUCAAUAAAGAGUAAUAAGAACAAAGUUGUACAACUGUUUACUAAAAACACCGCACUUUGCAGAAACGAUAAGUUUAAGUAUAAGGUGUGAACUCUGCUCCAUGCUUAAUAUAUAAAUAAAAUUAUUUAACGAUAAUUUUAUUAAAUUUAGGUAAAUAGCAGCCUUAUUAUGAGGGUUAUAAUGUAGCGAAAUUCCUUGGCCUAUAAUUGAGGUCCCGCAUGAAUGACGUAAUGAUACAACAACUGUCUCCCCUUUAAGCUAAGUGAAAUUGAAAUCGUAGUGAAGAUGCUAUGUACCUUCAGCAAGACGGAAAGACCCUAUGCAGCUUUACUGUAAUUAGAUAGAUCGAAUUAUUGUUUAUUAUAUUCAGCAUAUUAAGUAAUCCUAUUAUUAGGUAAUCGUUUAGAUAUUAAUGAGAUACUUAUUAUAAUAUAAUGAUAAUUCUAAUCUUAUAAAUAAUUAUUAUUAUUAUUAUUAUUAAUAAUAAUAAUAUGCUUUCAAGCAUAGUGAUAAAACAUAUUUAUAUGAUAAUCACUUUACUUAAUAGAUAUAAUUCUUAAGUAAUAUAUAAUAUAUAUUAUAUAUAUAUUAUAUAUAAUAUAAGAGACAAUCUCUAAUUGGUAGUUUUGAUGGGGCGUCAUUAUCAGCAAAAGUAUCUGAAUAAGUCCAUAAAUAAAUAUAUAAAAUUAUUGAAUAAAAAAAUAAUAUAUAUUAUAUAUAUUAAUUAUAAAUUGAAAUAUGUUUAUAUAAAUUUAUAUUUAUUGAAUAUAUUUUAGUAAUAGAUAAAAAUAUGUACAGUAAAAUUGUAAGGAAAACAAUAAUAACUUUCUCCUCUCUCGGUGGGGGUUCACACCUAUUUUUAAUAGGUGUGAACCCCUCUUCGGGGUUCCGGUUCCCUUUCGGGUCCCGGAACUUAAAUAAAAAUGGAAAGAAUUAAAUUAAUAUAAUGGUAUAACUGUGCGAUAAUUGUAACACAAACGAGUGAAACAAGUACGUAAGUAUGGCAUAAUGAACAAAUAACACUGAUUGUAAAGGUUAUUGAUAACGAAUAAAAGUUACGCUAGGGAUAACAGGGUAAUAUAACGAAAGAGUAGAUAUUGUAAGUUAUGUUUGCCACCUCGAUGUCGACUCAACAUUUCCUCUUGGUUGUAAAAGCUAAGAAGGGUUUGACUGUUCGUCAAUUAAAAUGUUACGUGAGUUGGGUUAAAUACGAUGUGAAUCAGUAUGGUUCCUAUCUGCUGAAGGAAAUAUUAUCAAAUUAAAUCUCAUUAUUAGUACGCAAGGACCAUAAUGAAUCAACCCAUGGUGUAUCUAUUGAUAAUAAUAUAAUAUAUUUUAUAAAAAUAAUACUUUAUUAAUAUAUUAUCUAUAUUAGUUUAUAUUUUAAUUAUAUAUUAUCAUAGUAGAUAAGCUAAGUUGAUAAUAAAUAAAUAUUGAAUACAUAUUAAAUAUGAAGUUGUUUUAAUAAGAUAAUUAAUCUGAUAAUUUUAUACUAAAAUUAAUAAUUAUAGGUUUUAUAUAUUAUUUAUAAAUAUAAUAUAAUAAUUAUUAUUAUUAAUAAAAAAAAUAUUAAUUAUAAUAUUAAUAAAAUACUAAUUUAUCAGUUAUCUAUAUAAUAUCUAAUCUAUUAUUCUAUAUACU